UACGUAGGGUGCGAGCGUUGUCCGGAAUUAUUGGGCGUAAAGGGCUCGUAGGCGGUCUGUUGCGUCAGGAGUGAAAACUCGGGGCUUAACCCCCGAGCCUGCUUCUGAUACGGGCAGACUAGAGGUAUGCAGGGGAGAACGGAAUUCCUGGUGUAGGCGGUGGGAAAUGCGCAGAUAUCAGGAGGAACACCGAUGGCGAAGGGCAGGUCUCCGUGGGCCAUUACUGACACUGAGAAGCGAAAGCAUGGGGAGCGAACAGG
rnacentral:rRNA from 1 species